rnacentral:lncRNA from 1 species
AUGUUUAGUGACCCUGCUAAUGGUCUGUUUAGUACAGGAUUUGUAAACUUAGAAACCACUGUUAGUAAAUACAAGCUCACUGUUGCUGAUCACUCUUACCAGAGGGGUGACAGAAGUGGAUGGAAGGAAAAAAAACAUCCCCCCAUGACCCCAAAGACUGGUAGAGCUGCUGUGAAUUCUGAAUGCACAGGCAACUCGGGAAUGCUUGAGUCGUGUUCCUGUGUGGACUGUGCUUUUGCGAAUGGAAUCUCAUUGAGGAUAUUAAAAUAAUGCUGAUCUGUAAAUCUUAAUUAGAACGUGUGCUUUGAUGCUUCAAAACAAACCCAACAAAACCACAAAACAACCCCUGCACAACCUAUGUUGCCUUUGAUAAUACACAGUGGCAAAAUCCUUGCAGGAGGUAGUGCAGGCUAUUAAGUAGGCUAUUAAGUGAAUAUACGAAGUGAAAGGUUUAGUGUCUUGAACCGGCAUUCUCACUAACGCAUAUUUUGCAGGAAUUAUAUUCCAUGCUAACUCUAAUUCUGAUUUAUUUAUUUGUUUAUUUUUAAAUGGAACGCUCUUUCAGGAUGGGGGAGAUUUAGGUGUACUUCUGAAGCAUAUCUUCCAAGUUCCUUUCAGAUGAAAGGCACCUUGUUUGUGCCCUCUGUCCCCUUUUUGUACUUGGGUUCAUAUAAUACAACAGACUUAAUUGUGAGGUGUUUUUUUUUUUUUAAAAGCAAUGACACCUUCCCCCAACGCAAAAUAAUUUUAUUAUAGGCACACCCAAACAUGAUUAUACAACACCAGUAUUGAAAGUCUUUGUGUGUUGCAUAUCCUAAUUUCCUUUCAUAUAAGGGACACAGCUCAUUACAUUUAGACCGGAACUACGGACAGGUUUGUUUGGGGUGGAAGGAGCUCACUUUUGUCAUUUGAAAAUUAAUUUGAUUAGGUAUGUGGAAUCGUAACACUAAUGUUAUAGAGCAAGUGCUCUGUUACAUCAAACAAAUAAAUCGUAGUACAAUUUGCA